UACCACCUGAGUCGAUUUCCAUUCGGACUUCACAACGCGACCACUAGUUAUCAGGCUGCCCUCUCCAGAUCACAAUCCGAUACGGAUAUUAUCUAGGAACUCGACUACUACUCGGACCUAGACGAGAAGACUCCUUUAUCAGGUCUAGAGCAUGGUCUGGUAAUCACAUAAACUCCCCAAGGUAGAUUUGUCUACUCGCCCAACAUGAAGCCA
rnacentral:lncRNA from 1 species